rnacentral:snRNA from 13 species
AUAGGUGGGUUUCCCAGAGUGAGGCUCAUUCCCUGCACUCCGGGUGUGCUGACCCCUGCGAUUUCCCCAAAUGUGGAAAUCUCAGCUGCAUAAUUUAUGGUGUCUAGCUGCUGA